rnacentral:tRNA from 1 species
GCGGCCAUGGUGUUCAACGGCAGCACGCCAGUCUUCCAAACUGACGGUGCGGGUUCGAAUCCCGCUGUCCGCUCCA